GCUACAUUAGUGGAAUUAACAUUUUAUUAUUUAUCAAAUGAAUGUGAUAUGCAUGAUUUUUAGAAUAUAUUUUAUUUGGUUAUGAGUUUCUUCCAUUAAUUAAAUUGUGCUCAUUAAUUUUAUGUACUUACGCUGUUGAAAUACAUAAAUUUGGUAGCGACUUAAAUACUAAAAUUUAGGUUGUUACAGGAAGGACUAUAGUCCUCUGAUGAUCAAAUCGUUCAGCCAAUUUUUUCCAAAGAACCCGUGGAUCUUUUUCAGUAAGGUAUUCAAUUUUCAAUCUACCAUGAAGAUGAUGACGAAAGAAGAUAAGUGGGUUUCUAUGAUCCUGGAGAGAUUUUUUUCAUUCUCUUAUUGUUUCUCCCAAAUCUUUUGAGACAGGAUGAUUAUCAAUAUCGAGUAUCUAUUAUAGAUACUUUUUUCUAAAUAUGUCAACUGCAACAAAUUCAAGUUUUGUAAUGUUAGACAUUUGAUUAAC
rnacentral:lncRNA from 1 species